GAGAGCAUUUAUGGUGUUUGUCCGUCACUAUUCUUAGAAGGAACUAUCAGUAUAUGUGUCCACGUUUUAAUGGACCAUAAGAUGGUCAUGAUUUUUGGGUCUGCAAAUAAACCCGCUUACCCUGCUGGAUUUGGACGAGGCGUCACUGCAUCAUUUCACAGGGUACUUGCCCUCAGUGCGCAGGACAACUUUAUGUUGAUACCUACAUCCUUCAUUGUUAUCAACCCAUCAAGUUUGAU
rnacentral:misc_RNA from 1 species